rnacentral:lncRNA from 1 species
GGGGCUCUGUUAUAGACCGCCUAACCAGGAUGAAGAGACAGAUGUGGUAUUUCAUGAGCAGCUAGCAGAAGUUGUGCGAUCGCCAGCCCUUGUUCUCGUGGGGAACUUCGACUUCCCUGAUCUAUGCUGGGAAUACAACACGGCGCAGAAGCAGCAGUCUAGGAGGUUUCUAGAGUGUAUGAAAGAUAACUUUCUUCUGCAGCUGGUGAGAGAACCUACCAGGGAGGUGCCCUGCUAGACCUGCUGUUCACAGGGGGGCUUGGGGGCUGCCUUGGACAGAGCGACCAUGAAAUGGUAGAGUUCUCAAUUCUUGGUGGAACCAAGAGAGGGGACAGCAAAACGGCGACCUUGGACUUUGAGAGGGCAGACUUUGAAUUGUUCAGGAGACUGGUAGGGAGGGUCCCUUGGGAUUCAGUCUUGGAGGGUAAAGGGGUCCAGGAAGGCUGGUUGCUCCUCAAGAAGGAAGUCCUGAAGGCGCAGGAACAGGCUGUCUCCCUGAGCCGCAAGAUGAGCCAGCGGGGAAGGAGACUGGUGUGGAUGAACAGGGAGCUUUUCCUGAGGCUCCAGGAGAAAAAGAGAAUUGACGUCCUUUGGAAGAAGGGACAGGCAACUUGGGGAGAGUACAAAGAGGUUGUCAGGAUGUGCAGGGAGAAAAUGAGAAAGGCAAAGGCCCAGCUUGAACUCAACUUGGCCGCUGGGGUAAAAGGGAACAAGAAACUCUUUUACAAAUACAUUAACAGUAAGAAGAAGAACAACCUGAUCUCCUUCUAUGAUUGGGUGACCCACCUAACGGAUGUUGGAAAGGCUGUUGAUGUGGUCUAUCUUGACUUCAGCAAACCCGUCCACACUAUCUCCCACAGUAUUCUCCUGGAGAACCUGGCAGCCCAUGGCUUGGACAGGUGCAGUCUUUGCUGGGUAAAGAACUGGCUGGAGGGCCGGGUCCAGAGAGUGGUGGUGAAUGGAGUUAAAUCCAGCUGGCGACCAGUCACAAGUGGUGUUCCCCAGGGGUCGGUAUUGGGGCCUGUCCUCUUCAAUAUCUUUAUUGAUGUCCUGGAUGAGAGCAUUGAGUGCACCCUCAGUAAGUUUGCAGAUCACACCAAGUUGGCAGGAAGUGUCGAUGUGCCUGGGGGUAGCAAGGCCCUGCAGAGGGAUGUGGACAGGCUGGAUCGCUGGGCCGAAGCCAGUGGGAUGAGAUUCAGCAAGACCAAGUGCCGGGUCCUGCACUUUGGCCACAACAACCCUAGGCAACGCUACAGGCUUGGGGCAGAGUGGCUAGAAGACUGUGUAGGGGAAACGGACCUGGGGUUAUUGGUUGACGCUCAGCUGAGCAUGAGCCNNNNNNNNNNNNNNNNNNNNNNN